rnacentral:rRNA from 1 species
UACGUAGGGUGCGAGCGUUGCCCGGAUUUAUUGGGCGUAAAGGGCGCGUAGGCGGCCACGCACGUCCGUUGUGAAAUCGCCCGGCUCAACUGGGCGGGGUCAGCGGAUACGGUGUGGCUCGAGCAAGCUAGGGGGCAAUGGAAUUCCCGGUGUAGUGGUGGAAUGCGUAGAUAUCAGGAGGAACACCAAUAGCGAAGGCAGCUCGCUGGGACGUUACUGACACUGAGGCGCGAAAGCGUGGGGAGCGAACAGG